rnacentral:lncRNA from 1 species
GAGUCUGAUGAUGAACAGGGCUAGGAUAGCCAUACAGCUUAUAGCAAAAGGGCUUUAGGUGGCCAAAUUUUCCACAGUAAUGGCAUCUCCAUCUUUGGUGUUUCCCUUUCUGCUGUCUUCCCUUCCGAUGUUGUGACAUCUCAGAUUUUUUUUUGAUAUGUUUGCACUUAGUUUUGGAUUUAUUGAACCCAAUGCCAGAUUUGUC